GAGGCCUGAUGCCAAUAGUGUUAACUUGUACAUAAUUUUUGGCCUCUGCUAGCUUUUAGGAUCGUCCUAUAUCAUUAGUAUUUCAAAACUUUGCCUUUUAAAAAAUUCAUCUGGUUCUAUGCUGAAUGUGGACAAAUCCUUUUAGUCCUGACUUUUCAGACCAGAGAAAUCUAUUCUACUCUAUUUGUCUCUCUACAUUCCUUCUUUUAUUUCCUUUCUGUUUAGUUAUAUACUGGAAUUUAUGGACCUAUCUGUGUAUCUUUUGGCUUUCCCUGAUACUUUCUCCAUCUAUACUUCCAGGUUGAGUAAUGGGAGACUCACCUUGCCAUCAUCCUGCUCAAAGCUUUCCUCUUCAGCUGUAUCCCUCUAUAUUCAAUAGCCUGUGUUUUUUUUUUUUGUUUUUUUGUUUGUAAAUUUAAUGGCUAUCAUAUCCUCUUCUGUGCCCUUGGGAUAUUAAAUACACUUUACUUAUUGUCUUCUGUGGAUUUUUUAUUUUUGAAGUUGUUUUGGCUUUUCAUAUUAUUGGCUUUCUUGAAAUAUUUUGGUGAUUCAUAGUUGUAAUUUGUUUAGUUGCUUAUUUAGUUGCUCAUUUUUGUAUUUGAGAUCCUCUUUUUGUCGAAGUUCUAUUUAUCAAAGCCUGUGAUGGGCAGGGUGGGCUGCGCUGCCAGGUGAGGAUAUGCCAAUAUUUUGAUUUUGGGUAAGCAAGUACCUGGGGUGCACUGCCCUACUUCUCUAGCUCCAGUGGCUUCACUCAUGGUUAUGUUAUAGGCUGGGUAUAGACAAUCCUGCUGCCUGCUCCCUGGCCCAUGGUUGGGCGACGGGACUUGCUUAGCUAUUCUGAAUCAGCUCCCUACCAAAUCACCUGCACAGUACCCAUGGGCAUCUUCCUGCUCUUUGCAACUGUUGAUUCUGAGUUCCAACCCAUACCUCUGUUUGCAGUAGUCUUUACCUUUUUUUCUUGUGAUUUCCUCUUAUUUGCCCAUAGCUUUGAUCUCAUCUGCUUUCUAUCUUUCUGGCAUUCCUCAAAAUUUUUAUUCCAUUGCUAGCCCUCUCAUUUUUCGGUGCUGUAGCAUAUUUAUUUUUCUUCUGCUUUAGCACCUUAUGGGAUUUAGGGUUGAGAGAGAAAGAUGCUUCUGUUGCAUCUGCCAUUUUGAUCCAAUCUAAUACCACUUUAAGCAAACAGAACAAAAACUCUUUCAUAGCCUUUGUUCCAAUUAAUUUCCUUGAACAGAACUAGUGUUGUAGUGGCUCCUGGGAUUGUCCUGUAUUACAAAAUGUGCUGUACUACUAGCUAUUCACAGAAAGUAUUGUUUACAAGCAAUUACUGAAAUAGCAGCUCUUUUCACUGCUUCCUAACAUGCACAAUUUUGUGAUGAACUUAUCAAUACUAAUGAGCAAUUCCUAGCAGUGAAUAAUCUUAAGGGUCAUAAAAUAGGUCAGUGAUAACCAGUUUUAUUUGCAUUGAAAGAUUAGGGAUAAUAGAGCUAUCUUAAAAACUACUCAGUUGGUCAGCAUCAUGGCAGUGUAAGAUGUUCCUCCUUUUUAAACAACAAAUUAGACAUCCAUCUACAAACAAAAGUGCUGUUGUGGGAAUGAGCAUCAUAUGCCAAGGGACCCAGGAGGAGUCUUGCCUACCUGUGCAUCCAGUAAUAGGCAGACAGACCUUGGUACAGGCUGUGGAACCAGUGAAACUGCCCCAAACUCUCUUGCCGUGGUCGGGAAAAAGCCUGGAGAGUGUGGACCUGAGCAGAUACACAUGGAUAAGAGAGAAUUUGCAGAAAUCCAGGCUUCCCAAGGGGAGUUUCCAGCAUACCAUCAGAGGAGAAGAAAAAAACACAAGAUUGGCUGCACUGCAGAUGGUAAGAGGAACUUUCCCAGGGCUGUCCCCGCACCGCCACAGCAACACUCAGGGAUGAACUAUCCAGCAGUGGCAAUCACUUCCAUGGGGGAAAGGAGAGUAGUGAGUGAGUGCCUGGCUAUCCCAUUACACAGCUGGAGAAUCCCAUUUCUCUCCAGCAACACCCAGAAUACUGAGACAGGACCCCAUGACUUGGAGAGAGACUGGGAAAGAGGCAGAUAAGAAUAUUAAAGGAAGUCUGCCCAUGAGCCUCUGGGAGUGCCUCAUGCAAGGAUCACCCCACUGAGUCCACAGGUACCCCCAACGCCUCAAAUGCUAAACCCACACCUCCCUUCACUCUGUGGCCAGCUCCUUAUAGUCAUUCUGAGUGCAGUUGCAAGAGCAAGUCCAGUAAACGCUAUCACAAAAACAGACCAGGACAGGUGGGCAAGGGCGAAAUUACAAACUUGAGCUAUCUCACCACCUUCUGGAAAACAAGAGAGGUUUCCAGUAGCCAGUUUGAUAAGUGGUAAGAACCAGAGAAGACAUAAAAGCUUAAGAAUUUUGCCACAAGAAGAGUGCAGCAGGUAUACCUAUACAAAGGCAGAGAAAACCCAGAUAUAACAGCAUCAACCAACAGCAUACCCCACCUGAAGGCAACUAGUAAAGAUUUAAGGAGAUGUCAGCUACUUCAAAUGUGAAAGCAGCAAUGCCAAACUACAAGGGACAUGAAAACUCAAGGAAACAUCACUAAAAAAUAAUAGUUUUCCAAUAACAAGCUCAAAGGUACGGAAUUUUGCAGUAUAGCUGAUAAUCAAAAUAGCUGUUUUGAAGAAACUCAAUGAGCUAUAAGAAAACUCAGAAAGAUAAUUCAAUAAGAGGACAAAAAAUACAUGAACAAAAUGAGAUAUUUACCCAAGGGAUGGAAAUCAAAAAGAACCAAACAAAUUCUGGAGCUGAAGAGUUCAAUGAAUGAAAUGAAAAAUUCAACAGAGAGCACCUGCAGCAGAAUAUAGCAAAUGGAAUACAGAAUAAGUGAUCUAGAGGACAGGAAUUUUGAAAUAACACAGCAGAAAAAAGAAUGAAAAAGAGUGAGGAAAGACUACGGGAUCUAUGAGAUUCCAUCAAAAGAACAAAUAUUAGAAUAGUCAGCAUUCCAGAAGGAAAAAAGAGGGAGAAGGGGGCAGGAAAUUUAUUUAAGAAAUAAUAGUUGAGAACUUCCCAAACCUGGGGAGAGAUCUGGACAUCCAAGUUCAUGAAGCUAACAAGUCACCCUAUGGUCUCAAUGCAAAAAGACCUCUAAGACACAUUAUAAUGAAACUGUUUAAAAAUUAAGAUAAAGAGAGAAUCAUAAAAGCAGUGAGGGAAAAAAAGAUUGUAACCUACAAAGGAAUCCUCAUUAGGCUAUCAGCAGAUUUCUCAGCAGAAACCUUACAGUUCAGGAGAGAGUGGGAUGACAUAUUCAGUGUUGAAAGAACAAAACUGCUGGCCAAGAAUACUUUAUCCAGCAAAGUUAUCCUUCAGAUAUGAAGGGGAAAUACUUUCCCAGACAAACAAAAGCUAAGGGAUUCAUCACCACUAGAUCUGCCUUGCAAGAAAUGCUGAAAGGAGCUCAAGCUGAAGUGAAAGGAUGCUAAUCAGUGACAUGAAAACAUAAGCAAGUAUACAAGACACUGGUAAAGUUAAAUAUACAGUCAGAAAACUCUAAUUCUGUAAUAGGAUGGUUUGUUAACCACUUAACUAUAGUAUAAAGGUUAAAGGAGAAGACAUUAAAAAUCAUUAUAGAUACUAUAAUUUGUUAAUGAAGACAAUAUAAAAAGAGGUAAGUAAUGACAUCAAAAAUAUAAAAGGAUGAGCAAAAGGGUGACUCUUUGUUCGUGACUGAAAUUAAGUUGCUAUCAGUUUAAAAUGGACUGAUUUAUCUAUGAGAUGUUUUAUGUAAGCCUCAUGGUAACUACAAAGCAAAAACCUAGAGCAGAUUCAUGAAAGAUAAUGAAAGGGGAAACAGAAGACACCACCAUGGAAAAUCACCAAUUUACAAAGGUAAGCAGAAAAAGAGGGGGGAAAAACAAUAGAAAUACAAAACAAUCAGAAAGCAAUUAAUAAGAUGGCAUUAAUAAUAAGUCUGUACAUAUCAGUAAUAACUCUAAAUACAAAUAGAGUGAAUUCACCAAAUCAAAAGGAACAGAGUAGCUGGAUGGAUAAAAACAAACAAACAAGACCCAACUAUAUGCUGCGUACUAAAGACUCACUUUAGCUUAAAGGACACACAGGCUCAAAGUUGCAGGAUAUAAAAUCAACAUACAGACUCAGUUACGUUUCUAUACAAUGAAACGUAACAACAAAACACCUGAAAAAGAAAUAAAACUAUCCCACUUACAAUAGCAUCAAAACCAAUAAAAUACUGGGGGCCGGCCCCAUGGCCAAGUGGUUAAGUUCGUGCGCUCUGCUUCAGUGGUCCCAGGGUUUCGCCAGUUCAGAUCCUGGGUGCAGAUCUAGCACCGCUCAUCAAGCCAUGCUGAGGCAGUGUCCCAUACAGCAUAACCAGAAGAACCUACAACUGGAAUAUACAACUAUGUACUGGGUCGGGGAGGGGGGGCGCGGGUUUGGGGAGAAAAAGAAGGAAAAAAAAAGAUUGGCAACAGAUGUUAGCUCAGGUGUCAUUAAAAAUAAAUAAAUAAAAUAGUUAAGAACAAAUUUAAUCAACGAAGUGAAGAAGAUCUGUACAAUGAAAACUGCAAGACCCUGAUGAAAGAAAAUGAAGUCACAAAGGGAAAGAUAUCCCAUGUUCAUGGAUCAGAAUUAAUAUUGUUAAAAUAUCUAUACUACCCAAAGCCAUCUACAAUCCUUAUUAAAAUUCCAAUGGCAUUUUUCACAGAAAUAGAGAAAACAAUCCUAAAAUUCGUAUGGGACCACAAAAGACCCUGAAUAGCCAAAGCAAUCCUGAGAAAGAAAAAAGCCAGAGGCAUCACACUCCCUGAAUUCAAAGUAUACUACAAAGCUAUAGUAAUUAAAACAGUAUGGUACUAGCAUAAAGCAGACACAUGGACUAAUGGAACAGAAUAAAGAGCCCAGAAAUAAACCCCUGUAUAUACAGUCCACUAAUAUUUGAUAGGGGAGGCAACAACAAUCAAUGUAGAAAGGACAGUCUCUUCAACAAAUGGUGUUGGGAAAACUGGAUAACCCCAUGAAGAAAAAUGAAAAUUAGACCCCUACUUUACUCAAAAAAAUUAACUCUCAAUGGAUUAAAGACUUAAACAUAAGACCUAAUACCAUAAAACUCCUAGAAGAAAACAUAGAGAAAAAGCUCCUUGAUACUGGUCUUUGCAAUAUUUUGGAUAUGACACUAAAAGCACAAGCAACAGAAACAAAAAUCAACAGGUGGGACUACAGUCAAACUAAAUGGCUCCUGCAGAACCAAAGAAACAAUAAUAAAACGGAAAAGGCAACCUGUGGAAUGGGAGACAAUAUUGGCAAACCAUAUGUCAGAUAAGGGGUUAAUAUCCAAAAUAUAUAAAGAAGUCAUACAACUCAAUAAUGAAAAUCCAAAUCCAAUAAAAAUAAUCCAAUAAAAAAUGGGCAUAGGUGGGCCAGGCCUUGUGCCCUGGUGGUUAAGUUCAGCACGCUCUGCUUUGGUGACCCAGGUUUGGUUCCAGGAUGUGGACCUACACCACUCAUCUGUCAGUGGUCAUGCUGUGGCAGCAGCUCACAUACAAAAAGAGGAAGAUUGGCAACAGAUGUUAGUCCAGGGAGAAUCUUCCUUGGGGGAAAAAGAACGGCCUAAGAACUAAACAGACAUUUUUUCAAAGAAGACAUCCAGAUGUCCAUAGGUAAGUGCUCAACAUCACUAAUCAUCAGGGAAAUGCAAAUCAAAACUACAAUGAGAUAUCACCUCAUACAUGUCAGAAUGGCUAUCAAGAAGACAAGAGGUAAGUGCCAGUGAGGAUGUGAGGAUAAGGGAACCCUUGUACAGUGUUGGUGGGAAUAUAAAUUGGUGUAACCAUUAUGGAAAACAGUAUGGAGGCUCCUCAAAAAAUUAAAAAUAGAACUACCAUAUGAUCCAGCAAUUCCACUUAUGGGUAUAUAUCCAAAGGAAAUGAAAACAGGAUAUCAAAGAGAUACAGGCACUCCUAUGUUUAUCGCAACAUUAUUCACAAUAGCCAAGAUAUGGAAACAACCUGAGAGUCCAUCAACAGAUGAAUGGAUAAAGAAGUUGUGGUAUAUAUAUAUAAUGGAAAGCUAUUAUAAUGCUACACCUCUGUCAUGCUACAUGCUACUUAUAUAUUGCAAUAUAUAAAUGUA
rnacentral:lncRNA from 1 species